rnacentral:snoRNA from 1 species
UUGUCAGAUGGGAUAAUCCUUACUGAUUCCUCCUUAUGGAGGGCAGAUGAGCAAAUGAUUGGAAUUUGCAUGAUAUGUGAUUAUACAUCUCUGCAUAAUCAGGACUUGCAACACCCUGAUUGCUCCUAUCUGAU